rnacentral:rRNA from 1 species
GACGAACGCUGGCGGCGUGCUUAACACAUGCAAGUCGAACGGAAAGGCCCUGCUUUUGUGGGGUGCUCGAGUGGCGAACGGGUGAGUAACACGUGAGUAACCUGCCCUUGACUUUGGGAUAACUUCAGGAAACUGGGGCUAAUACCGGAUAGGAGCUCCUGCUGCAUGGUGGGGGUUGGAAAGUUUCGGCGGUUGGGGAUGGACUCGCGGCUUAUCAGCUUGUUGGUGGGGUAGUGGCUUACCAAGGCUUUGACGGGUAGCCGGCCUGAGAGGGUGACCGGCCACAUUGGGACUGAGAUACGGCCCAGACUCCUACGGGAGGAAGCAGUGGGGAAUAUUGCACAAUGGGCGGAAGCCUGAUGCAGCAACGCCGCGUGCGGGAUGACGGCCUUCGGGUUGUAAACCGCUUUCGCCUGUGACGAAGCGUGAGUGACGGUAAUGGUAAAGAAGCACCGGCUAACUACGUG